ensembl:lncRNA
ACAGCUGGUAAUAACCUUUUAACUAUUUUUAUAAAACAGCGCUAUUGACUGAGCAGUUUUGUGCUUAUUCUCUCUUUAUUUAGCAGCCAUUAUAAGGGAUGCAAAUGGAUUUGGAAGAUGGAUCCUAAACCAACAUAUUUGUUGGAUGCAUUUAGUGCACACAAUUAAACCAGCGAUCAGCCAAAUGCUGGUGAAAUAUGCAAGUGACAUUUCCUUCACUUACCAGCCAAAAACACAGUCAUCUAUUCAAUGCCUUGUACAAUGUGAACAUCCACUUGCCGUAUGUGUGUGUAACAUUUACAGUGAUUGAUGCACAGUAAUGAUAUUCUCUCAAUCAUAUCAAUAACCUGUUUAUUUACCGUGUGCUCUUAUUAAGGACCAAGACAGUGAAAUCAAUUAGGGACAAAUCUCUUUUCAGCAAGUCCAGACUUUCACUCUCUCAGUGGAUGCAGUUCAUUUAUAGGUGAUACAUUUCAAAGUGCUACAUUACUUAGGAAAAGCUUUUUGAAAACAAUGUAAGUAAACUCAUGAUGUGUGUGUGAUGUAUUCUAUAGAUUUGCACAGGGCCUUCGUCUCAGACAGGUUGAUAUGGUGGAGGACGAUAUUGCUGCAACCCUCUCCAAGAUGGGCACAAAACUAAGGAAGGUCUGCAGACGGGCUGUUGAGAGGACGAGACGACAAAAAGGACAAAAAGGACGGCUCAUCGGUGGACGGCGGCAAUUUGUUGUAAUUGAUGAGUCAUUUCCGCCAUAAGAGAAAGUAUGGGAGAGGAAGAAUGGGUGGCAUGGAGAAGACGGAAAUGGGUCUUCGGCGUGCUUGGUGUGCAGCAGCAGAGGAGCAAGAGAGCGAAGCCGGUGCUGCGCCUUGUAGAAAGAAGAGGACCUUGUGCCACUGAAUGCACAUCAUGUCAGGAUAGGAUCAAACAUCAUUAGUGAUGAAUGGCGUGCUUAUCGUUCCCUGCAUGCACUUGGCUACAAUCAUAUGACUGAAUCAUGCAAGGUGGCAUGUAGAUGCCCAAACAGGUGCCCACACACAGC